GCGGACCUUGCGGGAGCUCCCGCCGCUGCGGCCGGGGGAGACCUUCCGACGGGUGGACGUCGGCGAGAUGCAGCGGGCCCCGCCGCUGGCGCCGCCUGCGCCGGCGGAGGGAGGCGGCGACGAGGUGGGAGGCGAGGUCGACAUGGCGGAUAGCGCGACGGAAGGUGGUGGAGGGUGCGGCGGCUGCGGAGGAGGGUCUGGGAUUCAAGUAGAGGCGGAUGGGGAUCGGGUCGGGGGGACAAGUAGCCGUUGUCGAUGCCGAGCCUCCCGGCCGGGUUGAAAUUGAGACGCGGGUGGGAAUGGGAUUACGACAGGGAGCGUGAGGAUUGGCGCUGAGUUGGCCGAUUUAUGGUGCCACGUCAGAGG
rnacentral:lncRNA from 1 species